rnacentral:rRNA from 1 species
AUUGAACGCUGGCGGCAGGCCUAACACAUGCAAGUCGAGCGGAUGAAGGGAGCUUGCUCCUGGAUUCAGCGGCGGACGGGUGAGUAAUGCCUAGGAAUCUGCCUGGUAGUGGGGGAUAACGUCCGGAAACGGGCGCUAAUACCGCAUACGUCCUGAGGGAGAAAGUGGGGGAUCUUCGGACCUCACGCUAUCAGCUGAGCCUAGGUCGGAUUAGCUAGUUGGUGGGGUAAAGGCCUACCAAGGCGACGAUCCGUAACUGGUCUGAGAGGAUGAUCAGUCACACUGGAACUGAGACACGGUCCAGACUCCUACGGGAGGCAGCAGUGGGGAAUAUUGGACAAUGGGCGAAAGCCUGAUCCAGCCAUGCCGCGUGUGUGAAGAAGGUCUUCGGAUUGUAAAGCACUUUAAGUUGGGAGGAAGGGCAGUAAGUUAAUACCUGGAUGUUUUGACGUUACCAACAGAAUAAGCACCGGCUAACUUCGUG